GAAUGAUUGGGCGUAAAGCGUCUGUAGGUGGCUUUUUUCAAGUCCAGCGUCAUAUCCCAGGGCUCAACCCUGCACAAGCGGUGGAAACUACCAAGCUGGAGUACGGUAGGGGCAGAGGGAAUUUCUGGUGGAGCAGUGAAAUGCAUUGAGAUCGUAAAGAACACCAAUGGCGAAAGCACUCGGCUGGGCCGACACUAACACUGAGAGGCGAAAGCUAGUGGAGCAAAUGGGAUUAGAGACCCCAGUAGUCCUAGCCGUAAACGAUGGAUACUAGGUGUUGUUCGACUCGACCCAUGCAGUGCUCUAGCUAAUGUGUUAAGUAUCCCGCC
rnacentral:ncRNA from 1 species